GCACAAGCGGUGGAGCAUGUGGUUCAAUUCGACGCAACGCGAAGAACCUUACCCAGGCUCGAACGGGGAGUGACAUUCGGCGAAAGCCGGCUUCCGCAAGGACACUCCUCGAGGUGCUGCAUGGCUGUCGUCAGCUCGUGUCGUGAGAUGUUGGGUUAAGUCCCGCAACGAGCGCAACCCUUGUCCUCUGUUGCCAUCAGGUUAAGCUGGGCACUCUGAGGAGACUGCCGGUGACAAACCGGAGGAAGGUGGGGAUGACGUCAAGUCAGCAUGGCCUUUAUGUCUGGGGCUACACACGUGCUACAAUGGCAGAUACAAACCGUCGCGAUACCGCAAGGUGGAGCUAAUCGGAGAAAGUCUGUCUCAGUUCGGAUUGCAGGCUGCAACUCGCCUGCAUGAAGUUGGAAUCGCUAGUAAUCGCGGAUCAGCACGCCGCGGUGAAUACGUUCCCGGGC
rnacentral:rRNA from 1 species